UACGGGGGGGGCAAGCGUUGUUCGGAUUUACUGGGCGUAAAGGGCGCGUAGGCGGCCACCGCAAGUCGACUGUGAAAUCUCCGGGCUUAACCCGGAACGGUCAGCCGAUACUGCGGGGCUAGAGUGCAGAAGGGGCAACUGGAAUUCUCGGUGUAGCGGUGAAAUGCGUAGAUAUCGAGAGGAACACCUGCGGCGAAGGCGGGUUGCUGGGCUGACACUGACGCUGAUGCGCGAAAGCUAGGGGAGCGAACGGG
rnacentral:rRNA from 1 species